rnacentral:rRNA from 1 species
GACGAACGCUGGCGGCGUGCUUAACACAUGCAAGUCGAACGAUGAAGAAAAGAAUCGAAGCUUCGGCAGAAAUUCAUUUCGGAUUAGUGGCAGACGGGUGAGUAACGCGUGAGCAACCUACCUCUUACAAAGGGAUAGCCUCGGGAAACCGGGAUUAAUACCAUAUAACAUUGCGACGAAGCAUUUCGAUGCAAUCAAAGCUACGGCGGUAAGAGAUGGGCUCGCGUCCCAUUAACCGGAUGGUGAGGUAACGGCUCACCAUAGUGACGAUGGGUAACCGGCCUGAGAGGGUGAACGGUCACACUGGAACUGAGACACGGUCCAGACUCCUACGGGAAGCAGCAGUGGGGAAUAUUGCACAAUGGAGGGAACACUGAUGCAGCGACGCCGCGUGAGUGAUGAAGGAAUUCGUUUCGUAAAACUCUGUUCUAUGGGAAGAAAAGGACUGUACCAUAGGAGAAAGCUCCGGCUAAAUACGUG